GACGAACGCUGGCGGCGUGCUUAACACAUGCAAGUCGGACGGUAGCACAGAGAGCUUGCUCUCGGGUGACGAGUGGCGGACGGGUGAGUAAUGUCUGGGGAUCCGCCCGAUAGAGGGGGAUAACCACUGGAAACGGUGGCUAAUACCGCAUAACGUCGCAAGACCAAAGAGGGGGACAUUCGGGCCUCUCACUAUCGGAUGAACACAGAUGGGAUUAGCUAGUAGGCGGGGUAACGGCCCACCUAGGCGACGAUCCCUAGCUGGUCUGAGAGGAUGGCCAGCCACACUGGAACUGAGACACGGUCCAGACUCCUACGGGAGGCAGCAGUGGGGAAUAUUGCACAAUGGGCGCAAGCCUGAUGCAGCCAUGCCGCGUGUAUGAAGAAGGCCUUCGGGUUGUAAAGUACUUUCAGCGGGGAGGAAGGCGAUAAGGUUAAUAACCUUGUCGAUUGACGUUACCCGCAGAAGAAGCACCGGCUAACUCCGUGCCAGCCGCCGCCGUAAAAC
rnacentral:rRNA from 1 species